ACAAUCUCCUCGGACGUGAUGAA
rnacentral:siRNA from 1 species